ACCUGGACGGGGGGCGGGUGCGGCGAUGGGGGCUGGGGAUCCCGGCUCUGGGCUGAAGGAUUGGGGAUCCAUCCCUCCCCCCCGGGGCCUGAGAAAGGAGAAAGAGGCAGCCCCCAACACACAGCUUGCUCUCGAAAACCCUGAUGGUUUUUGAGACAGCGUGACAGCAGACAGGGACGUACACCACGUCCUUGAGGAAGAUGAGGCAUUUCUGCAGUCAGAGUCUCUCAAGAGGUGUGAUGCCAGAGAGGAGAAUGGUGACAGCGGUGUCCUGCAGGCAGCAGUUGCAGGGCUCUAGGACAUGCUCACACAGUGCCAGCAGGUGGCCCAAGCCCUGCUCCACCAGCCUCAGGUUGCUGCUCCAGGGGCACAGAGACGCCGUCACAACACUGCUGGCUUCAGAGUCCACCAAGGAGGUGCCAGCUGGCCCUGUGCCACAGGAACGUGAUAUCAGGAUAUUUCAUGAGGAUGCCACCAGGGCUGAGAAUGUUGUCACGUCGUGACGUGUCGUGCUGACAUUUCAAAUGGUGACUCUUCCUCUUUGAAAGAAAGAUCUGCACCUUUGGCUGCCACAGGAGUGACUCAGGAGCGCUGAAUUGAGAGGGACUGCUGCAUCAUAGCUCAAAGCUCAGUCACAGCAGGUGUUCACACCUUGUAGUCUCCCUCAGGAAACCUGGAGAUGCUGGUUUGAACCCGGUUCAUUUUUCUGUCCCAUUGCUCGUAUCCAAAGACUGCUCUGCAGCGUCGCUGCCCUGACGUUUGGAAAUGUUCUCCUGAUUUUCAGCCUAACUUUAUUCAUGGCCAGAUUGUAUUUGUUGCACUUGUGCCUAGGCUGUCCACUAGCUCUUUUCCUUCUUGUAUUUGAGCCGAUGUUAUCUGUUUUUGCUUACCAAUUUGCCUGCUGGCUGGAAUUAUGCAUGGAAAAGAAGUUUCCCAUGCCCUACGUGAGGUUGUUUUAACCUCUCUAAAGGAGCUAAAUAAUUAUUCUUCAUCUGAGGGUGACUGAGUGCAGGGUUUGUAGUAUAACAGCAUCAUUUAUUCAUAAGGGGAUUUUUACGCCCUCAAUGUAAAGAAUGUUUGGAACUUGUUUUUCUAUGAAGAUCCAUUAAAAGUGUUUAUAACGUUUUCCAA